rnacentral:rRNA from 1 species
AUUGAACGCUGGCGGCAUGCUUUACACAUGCAAGUCGAACGGGCUGGGGGCAACUCCAGUCAGUGGCGAACGGGUGAGUAAUACAUCGGAACGUACCUCGUAGUGGGGGAUAACUCGGCGAAAGCCGUGCUAAUACCGCAUAUGCUCUACGGAGGAAAGCAGGGGACCGCAAGGCCUUGUGCUAUGGGAGCGGCCGAUGUCCGAUUAGCUAGUUGGUGGGGUAAGGCCUACCAAGGCGACGAUCGGUAGCUGGUCUGAGAGGAUGAUCAGCCACACUGGGACUGAGACACGGCCCAGACUCCUACGGGAGGCAGCAGUGGGGAAUUUUGGGCAAUGGGCGAAAGCCUGACCCAGCAACGCCGCGUGAAGGAUGAAGUAUUUCGGUAUGUAAACUUCGAAAGAAU